CCCAGGGCGGAGGGAGAGGACGGGCCGGGGGGGGAUCGUGAAGGGGAGCGGGGCCCGCGCGGGGUUCCGGGCAGCCCCUGAGGGGGGGACAUUCCUCUGCCGCUUCUGCGGCCCCUGCGGGACAGAUCCCGAGUCCUGGGAAGGGCAGCGGAGCUGGUGAAGCUGAUUUCUUUGUAGUGGUGUUUAUAGAAUCAUCAUCCCCCUCUUGCAAUGAUUUCACACUCUAGUCUUGACUUCGACUCUUUGCAGUCCCUCCCAGCCUGGUGUCAGCUUCAGGUUAGUGAGCACAGUCUCUAAGCCUUUACUCAAAAAUACUUUAAUAUAGAAGUGUAUGAGGAAUUUUGUUUGAUGUAAACAUACAGUUUGAUAGUCAGCUACUAAUAAUGAUCCUCUAAAUACAACCACUUUGCACCAGAUUUAUGGAGUUUCUGAUCAGAAAAAUUUCCAUGUCUUUCUUAUGAAAAUGUGAACAAAAUAGAGAAGCUUCUCUGAAGAUCUGCAGUUUAUUUAUUUCUGUGCAACCAUAAAUGGAAAUAAGUUUGGUUUGAUAGACUUUUAUGAACAAAUUAUGUCAUGAACAAAUCAUGUUAUUUGUCACUUUGUUAUUUUCCAGGUAUCUACAAAUAUUUCUAAUUUGUCCAGGAAUUUUAAACAAGUUGACUGGUUUCUAAUUUUCUGUUUGUUUGAUUGUUGUCUUUUGUCUGUUUUUAAGGAAAAAGGCUCAGUCCUUUAGUAGUUUCUUGAAACAUCUACUAGUUUUCAAAAUAAAGAUUGUUUUAUACCAUAA